rnacentral:rRNA from 1 species
CAGUAGCCGCGGUAAUACGUAGGUGGCAAGCGUUGUCCGGAUUUAUCGGGCGUAAAGGGAGCGCAGGCGGGCGAGUAAGUCUUUCUUAAAAGUGCGGGGCUCAACCCCGUGAGGGGAGAGAAACUACUCAUCUUGAGUGCAGGAGAGGAAAGCGGAAUUCCUAGUGUAGCGGUGAAAUGCGUAGAUAUUAGGAAGAACACCAGUGGCGAAGGCGGCUUUCUGGACUGUAACUGACGCUGAGGCUCGAAAGCCAGGGGAGCGAACGGGAUUAGAUACCCGUGUAGUCCCUGUCUCUUAUACA